rnacentral:rRNA from 1 species
AACGAACGCUGGCGGCAUGCCUAACACAUGCAAGUCGAACGAGACCUUCGGGUCUAGUGGCGCACGGGUGCGUAACGCGUGGGAACCUGCCCUUAGGUUCGGAAUAACUCCCCGAAAGGGGUGCUAAUACCGGAUAAUGUCUUCGGACCAAAGAUUUAUCGCCUUUGGAUGGGGCCGCGUUGGAUUAGCUAGUUGGUAGGGUAAAAGCCUACCAAGGCGACGAUCCAUAGCUGGUCUGAGAGGAUGAGCAGCCACACUGGGACUGAGACACGGCCCAGACUCCUACGGGAGGGAGCAGUGGGGAAUAUUGGACAAUGGGCGAGAGCCUGAUCCAGCAAUGCCGCGUGAGUGAUGAAGGCCUUAGGGUUGUAAAGCUCUUUUACACGGGAUGAUAAUGACAGUAGCGGGAGAAUAAGCUCCGGCUAACUACGUG